rnacentral:lncRNA from 1 species
GAGACAGAAACAUAGGCAGAGGGAGAAGCAGGCUUCCUGUGAGGAGCCUGAUGUGGGACUCGAUCCGGGGACUCCAGGAUCACGACCUGAGCCGAAGGCAGAGGCUCAACCACUGAGCCACCCAGGUGUCCCUAAGGUGAAGCUAUUGAUGGAGUAUAGUGGGGUGAGGCUAUUGAAAUGCCUGGCUGGUGAGUACAUGUGCUGUAAGUGAAGGGGUUGGGAGGAUAGCUUGUCAUGAUCCUUAACACUGUGCUGAGUCCCUUUGUCUGAUACCUGGGUAUCUGAGUUCUAGUCUUGCCUAGAUCUUGGGUAAAUCACAAUAUGUCUCGAACCUCAAUUUUCUUAUUGGUCACAUAAACAGGUAAGCUUAGGUGUUCUCUGAGGGUUUUAGAGUAGGACUAGACCUACAGCUCUUCAACCUGAUUUCACUUAUAUAAAAUAUAUGUGAAUGUGUGUGUGCGUGUGUGUAUAGGGGCACAGAGUGGUAGGAUAAGGGACAGUGAUUUUUAAAGUUGGACUGGCCCUUGGGAAUUAUUGGUUUCUUCUAAAAAUGCAUAAAACCAGUGCUAAGGUAGAGUUCCAUAUUCACAUUUCUGUUUCUACAUCAGUUAUAUUAUAUCCAACUCAGAACACAAUAUAGUUUUCCUAUCGCAAAUAUUUGUGAAUCAAACAACUUCUGUAGCCUUCCCAAACCUCAAAGACUUUUCUCUGCCCCUUCCUUCCUGGGCCCCCAAUCUACAGUGGGGCAGUGCCACAACAUGCCUAACCCUCAUGAGAGGCCUAAGUGGCUGCCCUCUCAGGAAUAUCCAAAGCACCUGUCAUCUUGGACCUGGUUGCAGAGCCCCAUCAGCUUCCCCAAGUGUCCUAGGGCCUGACAAGUGUGAGGAAAAGAACUCCACAUACUCUCAUGAUGCAAAUUUUUAUAUUGCACACCUGUGGCCAGAUGAAUCUUUACCAAACUCCACCUUCAUCACAGCAUUCCCUUUCCAAAGACUUCCAAGGAAGUGCUAACUCCUCAGCUUCUCAGACCUCCCCGGCGCCCAGCGGGUUCUUCUUCUUCUAAACUGGCACUGAUUGCAGAUGCUGAUCAUUGGGCAAUAAAUCCAUUCUGCCUUGUGGUGUUGCUU